GAUGAACGCUGACAGAAUGCUUAACACAUGCAAGUCUUUGGCGAAGCUGUGCUUGCACAGCCUAGCCAAGGCGGACGGGUGAGUAACGCGUAAGGAACUUGCCCUGCAGUCAGGGAUAACAGACGGAAACGACUGAUAAGACCUGGUAAAGUCAGGCGGACUCAUGUCCAGCCUGAUGAAAAGAGAUGCUGCAGGAGAGCCUUGCGUCCUAUUAGCUUGUUGGUGGGGUAACGGCCCACCAAGGCGAUGAUAGGUAGCCGGCCGGAGAGGGUGGACGGCCACAAGGGGACUGAGAUACGGCCCUUACUCCUACGGGAGGCAGCAGUGGGGAAUAUUGGACAAUGGGGGCAACCCUGAUCCAGCAAUUCGGUGUGCACGAUGAAGGUUUUCGGAUUGUAAAGUGCUUUCAGCAGGGAAGAAAAAAUGACGGUACCUGCAGAAGAAGCGACGGCUAAAUACGUG
rnacentral:rRNA from 1 species